CCUACGGGUGGCAGCAGUAGGGAAUCUUCCACAAUGGGCGAAAGCCUGAUGGAGCAACGCCGCGUGAGUGAAGAAUGUCUUCUGAUCGUAAAACUCUGUUGUUAAAGAAGUAAGUGCGUGAGAGUAACUGUUCACGUUUCGACGGUAUCUAACCAGAAAGCCACGGCUAACUACGUGCCAGCAGCCGCGGUAGUACGUCGGUGGCAAGCGUUAUCCGGAUUUAUUGGGCGUAAAGGGAACGUAGGUGGGCUGUUAAGUCUGAUGUGAAAGUCUUCGGCUUAACCGUAGAAGUGCAUUGGAAACUGGGAGACUUGAGUGCAGAAGAGGAGGGUGGAAUUCGAUGUGUAGCGGUGAAAUGCGUAGAUAUAUGGAAGAACACCAAUGGCGAAAGCGGCUUUCUAAUCUGUCACUGACAUUGAGGUUCGAAAGUGUGGGUAGCAAACAGGAUUAGAUACCCCAGUAGUC
rnacentral:rRNA from 1 species